GCGGGCCUGAUGUCGGAGCGCGGCCCGGAGCCGCGGCGGCGCUGCGGGAGCAGGAGGAGGAUGGCGGGGCUGCCGUGGAAGUGGCCGCGCACCCGCCUGCCCGUGGGCGCCAGCGCCCUGGGCGUCUUCGUGCUCUGCUGGCUCUACGUGUUCCCCGUGUACCGGCUGCCCGACGAGAAGGAGAUCGUGCAGGGCGUGCUGCUGCAGCAGGGCAAGGCGUGGAGGAGGAACCAGACCGCGGUCGCCCUGUUCAGGAAGCUGCUGGAAGAAUGCUGUGACCCUGGGCAGCUCUUUGCGAUGACAAAGACGAAUUCCCCCAUGGGAAAGAACCUCUGGUUUGACGGGGAGUUUUUAUAUUCUGUCACAAUUGACAAUGCAACUUACUCUCUCUUCCCACAGGCCACUCCCUUCCAGCUGCCGCUGAAGAAGUGCUCCGUGGUGGGGAACGGCGGGAUCCUGAAGAGGAGCGGCUGCGGCAAGCAGAUCGAUCAGGCAGACUUUGUCAUGCGGUGCAACCUUCCUCCUCUGUCCAGUGAGUACAGCAAGGACGUUGGAUCCAAAACCCAACUGGUGACUGCAAACCCCAGUAUCAUUCAAAAAAGGUUCCAGAACCUGCUGUGGUCCCGCAAGGCCUUCGUGGACAGCGUGCGGGUGUACAACCGCAGCUACAUCUACAUGCCGGCCUUCUCCAUGCGCACGGGCACGGGGCCCUCGCUGCGCGUCUACUACACGCUGCAGGACUUCGGCGCCCGGCAGUCGGUGCUGUUCGCCAACCCCGCCUUCCUGCGCGACAUCGGCCGCUUCUGGAAGGGCAAGGGCAUCCACGCCAAGCGCCUCUCCACGGGGCUCUUCCUGGUCAGCGCCGCCCUGGGGCUGUGCGAGGACGUGACCAUCUACGGCUUCUGGCCCUUCGCCGUGGACCUGCGCGGCGGCUCCCUCAGCCACCACUACUACGACAACGUGCUGCCCGACUCGGGCUUCCACGCCAUGCCCGAGGAGUUCCUGCAGCUCUGGUUCCUGCACAAGAGCGGCGUGCUCCGCAUGCAGCUGGAGCCCUGCGAGCAGCCCUCGGCCUGAGCCCGCUCUGGGACACGGGAGUUUGUCAUUUCCGUGCUCUGCGGCAGGGAGCUCUGGGUUAUGGUGGCUGUUUCUAAAGGGAUCUGCACGGACCGUGAAAAUGCUCCUUGAAGGCCAAAUGGAGUAUGUCCUUGUUGUUCAGUGCUUUGUGGAACUGGGAGAGGAGGAAUGUAUCUCUCCAUCGAGUCCAUUCAGCAGCGGUGGGAAAACUGUCAGAAGCAGCACGGCUGAACUUUGCAGGGACGUUUUUAAGUGACAAGUGUACAAAGGGCAUUAAGGCUCAGAGAGUCACCGGGCCGCUCAUAAGCUUUUGCUGACAGUGCCAAAUAUGACUAUCUCUUCCAAAUUCCAUUUCAUUCCAGAUCAGCAUCCUGUAGAACUUUCCUUUUUCCUUGCUUUUCCCCUCUGUUUGGGGGUGGGUGUGUGUGUAGGACAGCAUGUGUGUGUCAUUGACUCCUUGUUUCUUUUCCUUUUAUUCCUUUUAUUUUUGAUGUGUUGCCCCCUCCCCCGAGGAAGGAAAAGGAAGGGCUUAAAAGCCCCAGGAGCUGAGCACCAUCAGCUCCUCUGAAGACUCUGGGGAGAGUGAAGGUGCUGAGAAUGUGGUUAGAAUGUCCUAGGAAUGCCUUGCUACUGGGGACAGACAGAGCUGUGUGUUGUAGGUGUGAUCAGGAGGGUUCAGGUCACUGCAUUACAGCUGUGCCAGUGCUGUGCUGUGGGCAAGAGCUGGUUAAGGCAAACUGCUCUGAAAGGAAGCCUGUUACAAAACCAGCUACAGGGAAGUGCAGCCUGGUUUCAGUGACCCGCUGCAAGAUUUCUGCAGUGACUUUCAUAGAGGGAUGGUUCCUGACCUGCUUUUCUGUCCAGCCUUAGGGAUUAAUUCUGUAUUCAUUUGGACUCCAGAUGUUCACGGACUGUUGAGGGUAUUUGAGGGGUUCAGUGGAAUGUAGAAUGAGGUUCAUCGUGUGCUUACAGCAGGAAAAUUGCAGAAAUGAAUGUGUCAUUUAAAAUUAGUCGAAGCUUUGAGAAUCAUUUCUCUGCGUGUGACUUGCUCUUCUGCUUGGAUUGUAACGUUAGCCUUAAAGACUUGUACUUCUCACACGAGAUGGUCUCUGCUUGAGGAGAGUCUGGGAAAUAAAGCAGCCUUUGGGAGCACCGAGGAGCUGGACAGCCAGCAAGGAAAGGAGAAAAGAGAAGGGCAUGCCUGCUGCAGGGCAGCCCUGCUGGCAGUGGUGAAUCUGUCCGUGUGCACAGUGCCUGAAGGACUGUUUUAUUUUGGGUUGUUACUUGGGCAGCAGAUGGUCUCUCACUGUGGAAAUGAGAAAUCCUUUUGUUUGUUUGCUUUGGUUUAGCACUGGAGGACAAGAGGAGAAUCCCAGCUCGGUCUGCAGCACAAUUUAGGCUGCGAGAUGUUGCCACCAUUAACUUGAAAAAUCCAGAUCAGUGUUCUCGUUCUUAUUAUCUUCUUUCUGAAAAUCUAGCCAAGGUGUUGGAACAACAGAACUGUCAUCAGCUUUCCACAGCAACUUCCUGUGCUGUUCUAGCCCCAAAGUUCCAGUAUUUUGGGGGAUGUCUCUUCUCAAGUGUUGAUAAGGUCUCUCCUUGUAGACUACCAGCUGCAAGUUCUAUAGAUAUAAAUAAUUUUUUUAAAAAGUGAAAUCCAUGGCUCCUUUUUAAAUAUGAGUAGUUCAAUACUCUGUAAGAAAAU